CCUACGGGAGGCAGCAGUGAGGAAUAUUGGUCAAUGGACGAGAGUCUGAACCAGCCAAGUAGCGUGAAGGAUGACUGCCCUAUGGGUUGUAAACUUCUUUUAUAUGGGAAUAAAAUGUUCCACGUGUGGGAUUUUGUAUGUACCAUAUGAAUAAGGAUCGGCUAACUCCGUGCCAGCAGCCGCGGUAAUACGGAGGAUCCGAGCGUUAUCCGGAUUUAUUGGGUUUAAAGGGAGCGUAGGUGGAUUGUUAAGUCAGGUGUGAAAGUUUGCGUCUCAACCGUAAAAUUGCAGUUGAAACUGGCAGUCUUGAGUACAGUAGAGGUGGGCGGAAUUCGUGGUGUAGCGGUGAAAUGCUUAGAUAUCACGAAGAACUCCGAUUGCGAAGGCAGUUCACUGGACUGCAACUGACACUGAGGCUCGAAAGUGUGGGUAUCAAACAGGAUUAGAUACCCGUGUAGUC
rnacentral:rRNA from 1 species